rnacentral:rRNA from 1 species
GUACCGUACAAACGUUACUCGGAAUCACUGGGCUUAAAGGGUGCGUAGGCGGUGCGGGUCAGUUGGGUGUGAAAUCCCUCGGGCUCAACCGAGGAACUGCGCCCAAUACUGCCGUACUCGAGGGAGACAGAGGUAAGCGGAACUGAUGGUGGAGCGGUGAAAUGCGUUGAUAUCAUCAGGAACACCGGUAGCGAAGGCGGCUUACUGGGUCUCUUCUGACGCUGAGGCACGAAAGCUAGGGUAGCGAACGGGAUUAGAUACCCCGGUAGUCCUAGCUGUAAACGAUGAGCACUUGGUCGGAGACUCCUCCAUAGGUUUCCGGUCGUAGCGAAAGUGUUAAGUGCUCCGCCUGGGGAGUAUGGUCGCAAGGCUG